rnacentral:rRNA from 1 species
AGUAAUGUCUGGGAAACUGCCUGAUGGAGGGGGGUAACUGCUGGAAACGGUAGCUAAUACCGCAUAACGUCGCAAGACCAAAGAGGGGGACCUUCGAGCCUCUUGCCAUCGGAUGUGCCCAGAUGGGAUUAGCUAGUAGGUGGGGUAACGGCUCACCUAGGCGACGAUCCCUAGCUGGUCUGAGAGGAUGGCCAGCCACACUGGAACUGAGACACGGUCCAG